AUACGUAGGUGACAAGCGUUAUCCGGAUUUACUGGGCGUAAAGGGCGUGUAGGCGGUCUUGCAAGUCAGAAGUGAAAUUCCUGAGCUCAACUCGGGCGCUGCUUCUGAAACUGCAGGACUUGAGUGCUAGAGGGGAUAGCGGAAUUCCUAGUGGAGCGGUAAAAUGCGCAGAUAUUAGGAAGAACACCGGUGGCGAAGGCGGCUAUCUGGACAGUAACUGACGCUGAGGAACGAAAGCGUGGGGAGCAAACAGGAUUAGAUACCCUGGUAGUCCACGCCGUAAACGAUGAGUGCUAGGUGUUGGGGGUCAAACCUCUGUGCCGUAGCUAACGCAUUAAGCGCCCCGCCUGGGGAGUACGGCCGCAAGGCUAAAACUCAAAUGAAUUGACGGGG
rnacentral:rRNA from 1 species